rfam:Hordeum vulgare subsp. vulgare, WGS project CAJW01000000 data, contig: morex_contig_2579941
CUUAUACUCCCCCGUCAGAAAAUACUUGUUGUAGGAAUGGAUGUAUCGAGAUAUAUUUAAAUUAUAAAUACAUUCAUUUUUAUACAUUUAUGCGACAAGUAAUUCCGGACGGAGGGAGUAUUUA